GAUCCUGGCUCAGGACGAACGCUGGCGGCGUGCCUAACACAUGCAAGUCGAACGGACGAAGGAGCUUCGGCUCCCUAGUUAGUGGCGAACGGGUGAGUAACGCGUGAGCAACCUGCCUUUCAGAGGGGGACAACAGCUGGAAACGGCUGCUAAUACCGCAUAACAUGAUUUAGCCGCAUGACUGGAUCAUCAAAGAUUUAUCGCUGAAAGAUGGGCUCGCGUCUGAUUAG
rnacentral:rRNA from 1 species